GUUGACAUACGAAGGUUGUAAGAUGAUAAUUUUUACAUCUAAUCGUUUAAUCGACUGGCUCGGUUCGUAGCAUUGCAAAUCAUCUUUAUCAAAUGUAUGCAAUUAACUCAUAUGCAUUAAAUAAUGUGUUUCUGGCCGACGUCAGUGAGAUUCUUGUUAUUAUGCAUGGCUGAUUAUGGCCAAUUGGAACACAACAGCAAGUAAAAUGGUACGCCUUGUCUUGGACAGUGGUUAAUUUCAAUGCGUUCCUACAUUAUAAACUGGAUCAUUAAAUAUUUAAAGUUC